UGGGGAAUCUUCCGCAAUGGGCGAAAGCCUGACGGAGCAACGCCGCGUGAGUGAAGAAGGCCUUCGGGUCGUAAAACUCUGUGAUUGGGGACGAAGAAAGUGACGGUACCCAAAGAGGAAGCCCCGGCUAACUACGUGCCAGCAGCCGCGGUAAUACGUAGGGGGCGAGCGUUGUCCGGAAUUACUGGGCGUAAAGAGCGUGUAGGCGGUUUGUUAAGUCAGGUGUGAAACCUCCGGGCCUAACCCGGAGCAUGCACAUGAAACUGGCAGACUUGAGAGCAGGAGAGGAAAGUGGAAUUCCUAGUGUAGCGGUGAAAUGCGUAGAUAUUAGGAGGAACACCAGUGGCGAAGGCGGCUUUCUGGCCUGCGACUGACGCUGAGACGCGAAAGCCAGGGGAGC
rnacentral:rRNA from 1 species